AGAGGCUGUGCCUUCCACAAAUGCUAUCCUGUAUCUGUCAGAAGCAGAUAUUUCUUUGCCAUCCUUAAACCAGGACACCCUCAUGGGGAGGGAGCCUGCAAUUUUGCAGUCCAGUCUGCAGAUGUUUGGCUUCCAGCUUCAUUUUCAGCCAGGCACGUGUAUUUGCCUCCAAAACUAAUCUGAACAUCAGGGAGUAUCAAGACUGCAACACCAUUGGAAAAGCUCAUUUUGAUUUUUCCGUCUUCUCUGAUGACCUCUUGUCCUUUCAUCCAUGUGACAGAAAUGGGCUCUGACCCUCUCACAGCAGCUUGCAGGCUAAUUUCAAAUGGUCCAGUGCCUGAGAUUUCACACUGAAGUAGAGCAUUUGUUCCUCUCACUAUGUCUGCAGGCUCAAGAGUUUUGAUGAAAGAAGGAGGUUCUACAAAAGCAUGAAAGCAUUGUGUGGACCUUCUUAUUGAUAGCGGACUGCACAGGCUCUAAUUCUUUAAUGAAAUGUGGCUUAUCAAUGAUGAUCAACUCUGCUUGGCAGAUGUCUGCUCCAAACUUGUUAGAAGCCUUACAAGAAUAAACUCCUCUAUCUUGAAUGGCUCUGCAGUACCUACCAGCCAUGUUACCGUCUUAGUUGUUGGUCUCUCCAGUUGGUAAUACAAGCAUUUCCCACACAUGUACAGAAAGCAAAAAGGACAACAAUAUGAAAUGAAGUGACAACAUCUGUGCCAAUGUAUGGCAUUUACCUGUCACAGUUAGUGUGGCUGUACAGCUGACACUGCCAUACUCAUUGGAAGCUUUGCAUGUAUACUCGCCACAGUCAACCACCUGGGUUCUCAGGAUUUCAAGGCUGGAGAUAUACUUUGAAGAUCGAAUAGAACACUUGUCACUCUCAUAAAUUUCUCGGCCAGCUUUAAACCACUGGAACCGGACGUUGGGAGCACUUUGGAUCUCACAGCGUAUAAGCAUUAGAACACAGGACUCAAGUGUCUGCUGGCUGUAAAAAUACUGGAGAAACUCAUCUAUAGCAUGCAGAAUACAUAUUCAG
rnacentral:antisense_RNA from 1 species